rnacentral:misc_RNA from 1 species
GAUGAAGAACGCAGUGAAAUGCGAUAAGUAAUGUGAAUUGCAGAAUUGAGUGAAUCAUCGAAUCUUUGAACGCACAUUGCGCCCCUUGGUAUUCCGAGGGGCAUGCCCGUUCGAGCGUCAUUAUACCCCUCAAGCCUAGCUUGGUGUUGGGGCCUGCUGUUACCGGCAGCCCUUAAAAUCAGUGGCGGUGCCAUCUGGCUCUAAGCGUAGUAAUACUUCUCGCUACAGGGUCCCGGUGGAUGCUUGCCAUCAACCCCUAAUUUUCUAUGGUUGACCUCGGAUCGGGUAGGGAUACCCGCUGAACUUAAGCAUAUCAAUAAGCGGAGGA